rnacentral:rRNA from 1 species
CCUACGGGGAGCAGCAGUGAGGAAUAUUGGUCAAUGGACGAGAGUCUGAACCAGCCAAGUAGCGUGAAGGAUGACUGCCCUAUGGGUUGUAAACUUCUUUUAUAAAGGAAUAAAACGAGGCACGUGUGCCUUUUUGCAUGUACUUUAUGAAUAAGGAUCGGCUAACUCCGUGCCAGCAGCCGCGGUAAUACGGAGGAUCCGAGCGUUAUCCGGAUUUAUUGGGUUUAAAGGGAGCGUAGAUGGGUUGUUAAGUCAGUUGUGAAAGUUUGCGGCUCAACCGUAAAAUUGCAAUUGAUACUGGCAGUCGUGAGUACAGUUGAGGUAAGCGGAAUUCGUGGUGUAGCGGUGAAAUGCUUAGAUAUCACGAAGAACCCCGAUUGCGAAGGCAGCUUACUAAACUGUGACUGACAUUGAUGCUCGAAAGUGUGGGUAUCAAACAGGAUUAGAUACCCCAGUAGUC